AGAGUUUGAUCAUGGCUCAGAACGAACGCUGGCGGCAGGCUUAACACAUGCAAGUCGAGCUCACCUUCGGGUGAGCGGCGGACGGGUUAGUAACGCGUGGGAACGUACCCUUUUCUAAGGAAUAGUCACUGGAAACGGUGGGUAAUACCUUAUACGCCCUUCGGGGGAAAGAUUUAUCGGAGAAGGAUCGGCCCGCGUUAGAUUAGAUAGUUGGUGGGGUAAUGGCCUACCAAGUCUACGAUCUAUAGCUGGUUUUAGAGGAUGAUCAGCAACACUGGGACUGAGACACGGCCCAGACUCCUACGGGAGGCAGCAGUGGGGAAUCUUGGACAAUGGGGGCAACCCUGAUCCAGCCAUGCCGCGUGAGUGAAGAAGGCCUUCGGGUUGUAAAGCUCUUUCAGUCGGGAAGAAACGGAGCGCUCUAACAUAGCGCUCUACUGACGGUACCGACAGAAGAAGCACCGGCUAACUACGUGCCAGCAGC
rnacentral:rRNA from 1 species